rnacentral:rRNA from 1 species
CCUACGGGAUGCAGCAGUGGGGAAUAUUGCACAAUGGGUGCAAGCCUGAUGCAGCCAUGCCGCGUGUAUGAAGAAGGCCUUCGGGUUGUAAAGUACUUUCAGCGGGGGGGAAGGUGUUGUGGUUAAUAACCGCAGCAAUUGACGUUACCCGCGGAAGAAGCACCGGCUAACUCCGUGCCAGCAGCUGCGGUAAUACGGAGGGUGCAAGCGUUAAUCGGAAUUACUGGGCGUAAAGCGCACGCAGGCGGUCUGUCAAGUCGGAUGUGAAAUCCCCGGGCUCAACCUGGGAACUGCAUUCGAAACUGGCAGGCUAGAGUCUUGUAGAGGGGGGUAGAAUUCCAGGUGUAGCGGUGAAAUGCGUAGAGAUCUGGAGGAAUGCCGGUGGCGAAGGCGGCCCCCUGGACAAAGACUGACGCUCAGGUGCAAAAGCGUGGGGAGCAAACAGGAUUAGAUACCCGCGUAGUC